rnacentral:rRNA from 1 species
UACGGGGGGGGCAAGCGUUGUUCGGAAUUACUGGGCGUAAAGGGCUCGUAGGCGGCCAACUAAGUCAGACGUGAAAUCCCUCGGCUUAACCGGGGAACUGCGUCUGAUACUGGAUGGCUUGAGGUUGGGAGAGGGAUGCGGAAUUCCAGGUGUAGCGGUGAAAUGCGUAGAUAUCUGGAGGAAGACCAGUGGCGAAGGCGGGUCUCUGGACAGUUCCUGACGCUGAGGCACGAAGGUCAGGGGAGCAAACGGG